UUAAUUCCUAGUAUCUAACAAUAUAACAUGUGAUUUUCGUGAUUAUGUAACCCUUCACGGUCAUGGUGGUUUAUAAGCACAGGUUAUGCGCAUUUAUUCGAACUAUAUAAACAAAAUAACUAUUCUUCCUCAGGAUUCAUCCAACAACUCUCUAAAAGAACAACACCAAAAAAAUGAGUUUGAAAAUUGCGGUUGUUGUUUGCUUGGCCAUUAUUGCUUUGGAUUCAGCUUUAGGGGCUCCUCACAACUCCCGUAAAGACCAAGAUCUCAGGAAAAGUUUUGUUGAAUUCUUGCAACAAGAUAAGGAGUUGUCUUCGUUGUUAGAAAAAGCGAAUCUCGGAAGUUAUCCUUCGUUGUCACGAGCUGUAAGACAAGCUGAAGAAGACGAUGUGGAAACUGACCAAGACGUUGAUACUCCCAAACAAGAAGGAUUUUUUGACAGAGCGGCCAAAUUUGUGAUGGAAGUUUUGCAGAGGUUUCUCAAAUGGGUUAAUACAGACAAUUAAAGUGGGAAUCAGAGAAGCUGUUAAAACUUAUAUUUUGAAUGCAUUGUUUGGAUAAGCAAUCAUGUCUAAAACCACUUCUAAAGUAAAUUUUUUCCUAAAAGCUUU